UGGGGAAUUUUCCGCAAUGGGCGAGAGCCUGACGGAGCAAUGCCGCGUGGAGGUGGAAGGCCUACGGGUCGUCAACUUCUUUUCUCGGAGAAGAAACAAUGACGGUAUCUGAGGAAUAAGCAUCGGCUAACUCUGUGCCAA
rnacentral:rRNA from 1 species